CAGGUGGUGCAUGGUUGUGUCAGCUCGUGUCGUGAGAUGUUGGGUUAAGUCCCGCAACGAGCGCAACCCCUAUCUCUAGUUGCCAGCGAUUCGGGUCGGGGACUCUAGAGAUACUGCCCCGGUUAACGGGAGGAAGGUGGGGAUGACGUCAAGUCCUCAUGGCCCUUAUGCCCAGGGCUACACACGUGCUACAAUGGGCGGUACAAAGGGUAGCGAUGCCGCGAGGUGAAGCCAAUCCCAAAAAGCCGUCCACAGUUCGGAUUGGAGUCUGCAACUCGACUCCAUGAAGCCGGAAUCGCUAGUAAUCGUGGAUCAGCAUGCCACGGUGAAUACGUUCCCGGGCCUU
rnacentral:rRNA from 1 species